CCCAAGGCCCAGAGCCUGCUGGACAGGGACUGCCUCUGAGCUUGUGCCCAUGAGCCCUGCCCCGUCCUUCCUGGGCACGGCCCCCCGUCUGCAUGUUCUGUGUGCAACCCUGGGGCCCCUCCUAGAAUGCCGCCUACUGCACAGAGACUAGAGGGUUCUCCUCCCUUCCUUUGUUUACCAGACAUGGACGCAGUGCCCACAGUCCCUGCCCACAGUCAUAGAACUCGAGGCCCCAGAGCUCUGGACAGCCAUCUCGUGCCUUCAGAGAGCAUGAAUCACCGCCUUCAAGAACCAGGCAUGGUUUCAUGAAAGCCAGGGCUCUGCAAGCUCUCCCCACCUAGAGGUCUCUGCA